GUCUCGUCUUUCCUCCAAGCUAUACAUGUUAAGAUCCUUUAACCUUUCCUGGUAAGUUUUAUCCUGCAAUCCAUGAACCAGUUUAGUAGCCCUUCUCUGAACCCUCUCUAAGGUAUCAAUAUCCUUCUGAAGAAACGGUCUCCAGUACUGUGUACAAUACUCCAAGUGAGGUCUCAUCAGUGUUCUGUACAAUGGCAUGAGCACU